rnacentral:rRNA from 1 species
GACGAACGCUGGCGGCGUGCUUAACACAUGCAAGUCGAACGCUGAACCCGCUUCGGUGGGGGAUGAGUGGCGAACGGGUGAGUAACACGUGGGCAACCUGCCCCCGGCUUUGGGAUAACUCCAAGAAAUUGGGGCUAAUACCGGAUGUGACCGCUGGCCGCAUGGUCUGGUGGUGGAAAGGGUUUCCGGCUGGGGAUGGGCCCGCGGCCUAUCAGCUUGUUGGUGGGGUAGUGGCCUACCAAGGCGACGACGGGUAGCCGGCCUGAGAGGGUGACCGGCCACACUGGGACUGAGACACGGCCCAGACUCCUACGGGAGGCAGCAGUGGGGAAUAUUGCGCAAUGGGCGGAAGCCUGACGCAGCGACGCCGCGUGGGGGAUGACGGCCUUCGGGUUGUAAACCUCUUUCAGCAGGGACGAAGCGCAAGUGACGGUACCUGCAGAAGAAGCACCGGCCAACUACGUG